CUUCUGUUUGAUUGUAUUUCUAUGAAGAAAUUAUCAUAAAUGUUCUUCCUUUAGCUGCGAAACUCCUCUGCACUCGGUGAUCGACUCGUCAGGGCUCUGUGUAUAGCUAACGUGCAGUGGUUACUAAAGUUGGUAUAACUAGAGAUGCAAGCGGUCGGCAACAUCCAUCUCUCGACGGGGUGUCUCGAUGUUACGUGUGUUUGACCUUAAAUUAAUUUUACGCCGGAAUGUCCCUUUAGGGCAAAAUAGGGCCCAAAUAGAAAAGAAGAAGAAGAAUGACUGACAGAACAAAUUACAACGCACUUACUAAGGGGGAACCACAGAAAAGAUAAGAUAUAAUGAGUGAUAACAGACGGGUUAUGUGAAAAAUGUUAAGUGUGAUUGACAGAAGGUAUUAUAUUAUGGAAAAUCAAAUUAGUCUGUCUGGAAGUAAGUGAAUCCCGGCAACACAGUCACAACAGAGCAACAGCAAAUGACCACACACAGCAAUCACUGAUGGCGUCACAGGGGGUAAAUGUCUGAAUUCACACCAGCUCCACCACACAGCUGUUUCAUCGAAGGAAGGGAAAACACAUUCAUCUUCCCA